ensembl:lncRNA
AUCUGGGUCUUUACAGUGUGUGUGUGUGUGUGUACCUGGGUCUUUACAAUGUGUGUGUGUGUGUGUGAGUGUGUAUCUGGGUCUUUACAAUGUGUGUGUGUGUGUAUCUGGGUCUUUACAGUGUGUGUGUGUGUGUGUGUGUGUGUGUGUACCUGGGUCUUUACAAUGUGUGUGUGUGUGUGUGUAUGAGUGUGUACCUGGGUCUUUACAAUGUGUGUGUGUGUGUGUGUGUGUGUGUGUGUGUGUAUCUGGAGUGUGUGUGUGUCCUAAGUCUUUAUUCCUAUGGAAUUCAGGUUCGUAUUGGUCUUCAGUUUGUUGGGUUGCCAUUUCUCACUGUCACUAUUAGACGUGGGAGAUCUGAGAGGCGCUCAAUCAGUCCUCUGGAUUCUAGGCAUGGCCUUCUUGCCCACCCUCCCUUUUCUAGAUUCAUCACCCUACCUGGUACACUUGAUCCCCUCUCUACAUUUGAGUUAAGCAAUACACAGAGCUCAAAAUGACCAGAAGGAAGACUACUUGUGACUUCAAGGAACCACAUCUGUGUUCCCUCCAGGCCCACUGAACACAAAGUCGAGAGAGGGAAAGCAAAAAUUCCUCCAGGAGGUUAUUUGGAAUCACAGAAGAGCCACCCUCAUUUCCACUGCUGGGUCCCCAGGUCUCUGCAUCCAGGCUGUGAGAGAGGCGGAGCCACUGAUUUUAAACUUACACUGCAUCCCGCAUGUCAGUAACCCAAGUCGUGGUCUCCCAGCUGGCACUGGAGGUCUCUAUCGACUCAUCUGCUUCUGAGCGAUGGGACUCACUGUGUGUCCAGUGCUUCCAUGGGUGAGACCACUUCUCUGCGCCUUUCACCAAAAAAGGAAAAUAGGCUAUGUGGGGGAUAGCAGAGUGAUGAACAAGCAAGUACAAAAAUGACGAGGCUGGCAGAAGCACUACAGGCGGGGAAGGCAAGUCCAUAGCAGGAAUGCACAUUUAUUACCAAGAGGCAAUAGAUAACUGAUCCUUUAUGAAGCAAGGGGACAGGGCACUCAACCUGCCAAUAGAUAGCUAGCUGGUCCCUGAAGGGUGGUGGUUCUCAAAUUUUUUGAUGUCAGGAUCUUUUUACACUCUUUAAAAUUAUUGAAAGGUUAUACUCUUAAAAAUUGUAAACGGUUUUUGUUGAUGUGGGUUAUAUCUAUUUUACUGGAUUAGAA